AAACAUCAGACGACAGGGGAGCAGGCACAGGGGGUAAUACGACCUGGCCCUGUACGAGGGCUGGCGGCCAUACGGCGGGAGGAGCCGAUGUCGUGACGUCAAUGGUGUGCCGUGGCCGCGUGGCGCGGGUGGGAGAAGCCGGAAGUGGGUAGCUACAUGUAGCGGAGAUUGAGGCGGCGUUGUAGAGCCGAAAGAGCUGGGCAUUGUUGCCCGUUCGAUGUAAGGGAUUGUUCAUUACCCUCAGCGCCUACUGGUGGCAGACCACGUUCCAUUCGGUUAUAGCAGCGGGGUGUGGGAGCGCUGAAACCGGAAGCUGCGGGCUGGCCGAGGAACAGCCGGUCGAGAUCGGAACGCCCGGCACAACAGCGUUGGGCGUCAUCUGGAUCACGGCGGCGCUGGCUACGGACCCUGGGCAGGUCAGGCGAAGCGCGGCCGGAGCUGCUAGAUGGAGAGUAGUAAACCAAGCUUCAGUGAAGGACCGCGGUCGCGACGACCCGGGAACCCGCCGUCGGGGAGUGAGUGAGGCAACGGACAGGGUAGAUUUGGGAACCACGGACCGAAAGAAGAACAGCUCGUCAUCCGAGGGGGUGAGGAUUAGUUCGUCCAUGGCGAGGGAGCGUGGAGAAGGCCUCACAUCUGGCAGGCUGGCUGUCUUCCCAUUCUGGUGAUGGGCUCCAGUUGUGGCACUAGGCAACCAUUGUCAAGGGGAGGGGCCAACUGGAGCAGCUGGUUUCAUCCCUCCGUCCAUGGAAGUGAGCACGUGCAGUAGCUGACAAAAUAAUGGAUCACGGUCAUAACGGUUAAUAUUAAAGUAGCAUUACACCAUUAGUUCCCACAAGCUGGUUUUUAAGUGAGAACUUUUAGUUUAGAUAUCCCUUCCCUUUGUGUGGACUUGCCCCUCAAAUUAUGGAAAUGUAAAGCUUCAGAUAUGAGGCUGCUGAUGUGUUGGUGAGCCUGAGUGGCUGCGGUUGUUAUCUAGACUUAAGCCCAGGAAAUAACAAAGGAACACUGUGCUCCUCUGUCUGGCACCAAAGACCUACCUGGAUGGGGAAUAAAGGGGAAGGGAAGGCACUAGUUCUUAGGAAGAAUGGGUGAGAGAGAGUAAAAAAAAAGGCAAA